AACUACUUUUCAUGGACUGGAAUAGUUUAACACUGAUGAAGGCCUAAGUUAAGUUACUGAGAAGGACAAACUAUGAAUGGAUUUGGGAAGUACAGAGAAUGAGAUAAUGCCUCACAUGUGACCAGCAGACACAGGAUCUGAAACUUAAACAGACCAAAUACCUUGCCCAGAGCCACAUGUUCAGCAAGUGGUGGAUGCAAGACUUGGAUCCAGGCUGGUCUGUUUCCAGAGACUCAGCGUUCUUCACAGGCUCCUUGAAGGCCUUGGUGGAUGCCCCCAGACAGAUCUAUCUUGCUGUUACUGUCUUGUAGGAGUAAACUCUUCCUCCCACUUUCUUUCCUAGAGCAGUCACCUCUGUAGCCUCCCACCUUCAUAGCCUACUUUCACCGGCUUAUGCCCACAGUUCAUACCAACCCCAAGUGAGACUUUCUGUCCUUUGAGAAGGUUUCCCUGCUGCUGCCCUCCAAACCCAGGUAAGGCUCUCUGCCCUCUGGGAAGCUUUGCCUGCUGCUGUCCUCAUCCCCUCCCUGAGUCUGGAUCUGUCCUGAGUGCUCAAAAGCACCCUAGGCAUACUUGGUUCCAGGACUCACGCUCUCCUGGAGUUACCUGUUUACUAUUUGUCUUCCUUCCCCUACAUCUCCAGGGCUCUGCCACAUACGCUACGCAGCAGAGAUUGUUUUCUGUCUCCUAGUGCCUAGCUCAGUGCCUGGCACAGAACAGAUGCUCAAUAAAUGUUUGAUAGAUAGAUGAAUAAAGACUGACUUCAGAA